AAAGGUCUUCGGACUGAGUAAAGCGGCGGACGGGUGAGUAACGCGUAGGAAUUUGCCUUUCAGUGAAGAAUAUCCUCGAGAAAUCGAGGUUAAUGCUGCAUAAGUCCUUAACGGGAGAAAGAUGGCCUCUUUGCUGUCGCUGAAAGAUAAGCCUGCGUACUAUUAGCUAGUUGGUAGGGUAAAGGCCUACCAAGGCGAUGAUGGUUAGCCGGCCUGAGAGGGUGUACGGCCACACUGGAACUGAGACACGGUCCAGACUCCUACGGGAGGCAGCAGUGAGGAAUAUUGCGCAAUGGGCGAAAGCCUGACGCAGCGACGCCGCGUGGAGGAUGAAGGUUUUCGGAUUGUAAACUCCUGUUAAGUGGGAAGAAACGACAAAAUAUAAUACAUUUUGUAACUGACGGUACCAUUAAAGAAAGCACCGGCUAACUUCGUGCCAGCAGCCGCGGUAAUACGAGGGGUGCAAGCGUUAUUCGGAAUUAUUGGGCGUAAAGGGUGCGUAGGCGGCGUAUUAAGUCAACUGUUAAAACCUCCAGCCUAACUGGAGAUCAGCAGUAGAUACUGGUAUGCUAGAGGAUGGAAGAGAGAAGUGGAAUUCUUGGAGUAGCGGUGGAAUGCGUAGAUCUCAAGAGGAACACCAAUGGCGAAGGCAGCUUCUUGGU
rnacentral:rRNA from 1 species